CCUCUAGGGCAAUUUAAUCAAAUGUUUUUUAAGUCCAGAUAAAAAAUUAAUCUUGCUAGUUGUAAAGGGAAAAUUAAAAAUUUUUAUCCUUUAAAGGUUGAAAGGGUAAAAUAGAUUAGGGUUAGAUGCCUAGUAUACUCCUUGCUAACUAAUUUGGGUAUUAAAAGAAUAACUCUAAACCUAAAAAACAUGGCAGUAUUUUACUCCCUGCAGAGGAACUUGAAUUUUGAAAAGAUAGUCCCCUAUAUUUUUCUCUUAAAUUUAUUUUGUGUGUGGUUGUCUAAAUUAACAUUAGAUUGUACGUUAGAUGUCAGAUUACACGUAGAAAUAUUUAAGCAUAUUUAAGUUAUAAUUAAAAUAAAUUAAAAGAUUUGCAAGUAUUUUGGGUUUAAUAUCCCUUAAAGAAGAGGUUUUAAAAUGUGUACAUAUUGUCCGUCACUCUCGAUAG
rnacentral:rRNA from 1 species